UCGACGAUGAUCCCAGCUUGCUGGGGGAUUAGUGGCGAACGGGUGAGUAACACGUGAGUAACCUGCCCUUGACUCUGGGAUAAGCCUGGGAAACUGGGUCUAAUACCGGAUAUGACUCCUCAUCGCAUGGUGGGGGGUGGAAAGCUUUUGUGGUUUUGGACGGACUCGCGGCCUAUCAGCUUGUUGGUGGGGUAAUGGCCUACCAAGGCGACGACGGGUAGCCGGCCUGAGAGGGUGACCGGCCACACUGGGACUGAGACACGGCCCAGACUCCUACGGGAGGCAGCAGUGGGGAAUAUUGCACAAUGGGCGCAAGCCUGAUGCAGCGACGCCGCGUGAGGGAUGACGGCCUUCGGGUUGUAAACCUCUUUCAGUAGGGAAGAAGCGUAAGUGACGGUACCUGCAGAAGAAGCGCCGGCUAACUACGUGCCAGCAGCCGCGGUAAUACGUAGGGCGCAAGCGUUAUCCGGAAUUAUUGGGCGUAAAGAGCUCGUAGGCGGUUUGUCGCGUCUGCUGUGAAAGACCGGGGCUCAACUCCGGUUCUGCAGUGGGUACGGGCAGACUAGAGUGCAGUAGGGGAGACUGGAAUUCCUGGUGUAGCGGUGAAAUGCGCAGAUAUCAGGAGGAACACCGAUGGCGAAGGCAGGUCUCUGGGCUGUAACUGACGCUGAGGAGCGAAAGCAUGGGGAGCGAACAGGAUUAGAUACCCUGGUAGUCCAUGCCGUAAACGUUGGGCACUAGGUGUGGGGGACAUUCCACGUUUUCCGCGCCGUAGCUAACGCAUUAAGUGCCCCGCCUGGNGAGUACGGCCGCAAGGCUAANNNNNNAAGGAAUUGACGGGNNNNNNCACAAGCGGC
rnacentral:rRNA from 1 species